rnacentral:rRNA from 1 species
UACGGGGGGGGGCAAGCGUUUGUUCGGAAUUACUGGGCGUAAAGGGUCUGUAGGUGGCUUGCUAAGUCAGACGUGAAAUCCCUCAGCUUAACUGGGGAACUGCGUCUGAGACUGGCGAGCUUGAGUGCAGGAGAGGAACGCGGAAUUCCAGGUGUAGCGGUGAAAUGCGUAGAUAUCAGGAGGAACACCGGUGGCGAAGGCGGGUCUCUGGGCCGAUACUGACGCUGAGGAGCGAAAGCGUGGGGAGCGAACAGG